rnacentral:rRNA from 1 species
GAUGAACGCUGGCGGCGUGCCUAAUACAUGCGAGUCGAGCGAACAGAUGAGGAGCUUGCUCCUCUGACGUUAGCGGCGGGCGGGUGAGUAACACGUGGAUAACCUACCUAUAAGACUGGGAUAACUUCGGGAAACCGGAGCUAAUACCGGAUAAUAUAUUGAACCGCAUGGUUCAAUAGUGAAAGACGGUUUUGCUGUCACUUAUAGAUGGAUCCGCGCCGCAUUAGCUAGUUGGUAAGGUAACGGCUUACCAAGGCAACGAUGCGUAGCCGACCUGAGAGGGUGAUCGGCCACACUGGAACUGAGACACGGUCCAGACUCCUACGGGAGGCAGCAGUAGGGAAUCUUCCGCAAUGGGCGAAAGCCUGACGGAGCAACGCCGCGUGAGUGAUGAAGGUCUUCGGAUCGUAAAACUCUGUUAUUAGGGAAGAACAAAUGUGUAAGUAACUAUGCACGUCUUGACGGUACCUAAUCAGAAAGCCACGGCUAACUACGU